AAGGACUUAAGUUUAAUGAAACUAUUAACCUUCAAAGUUAAAAAUAAAAAUAUAUUUUAGGCCUUA
rnacentral:tRNA from 1 species